UACGAAGGGGGCGAACGUUAUUCGGAAUGACUGGGCGUAAAGAGCGCGUAGGCGGUGAUAUAAGUCUUGUGUUUAAUUUUCUGGCUUAACUAGAAAUCUGCAUGAGAUACUGUGUUGCUAGAGCAUGAGAGAGAAGAUUGGAAUUCUUGGAGUAGCGGUUAAAUGCGUAGAUCUCAAGAGGAACGCCGAUGGUGAAGACAGAUCUUUGGUUCAUUGCUGACGCUGAUGUGCGAAGGCGUGGGGAGCAAACAGG
rnacentral:rRNA from 1 species